rnacentral:rRNA from 1 species
UACGAAGGGGGCGAGCGUUGUUCGGAUUUACUGGGCGUAAAGGGCGCGUAGGCGGCCGAUCAAGUCAGGCGUGAAAGCCCCGGGCUCAACCUGGGAGGUGCGCUUGGGACUGGUUGGCUUGAGUUCGGGAGAGGAGAGUGGAAUUCCCAGUGUAGAGGUGAAAUUCGUAGAUAUUCGCAAGAACACCAGUGGCGAAGGCGGCUCACUGGCCCGGAACUGACGCUGAGGUGCGAAAGCGUGGGGAGCAAACAGG